UAUUCUAAAUAUUUUAGCGAUUGUGCAAUCAAGAAUAAUUUUAGAAUUUUAUGUUGAAAAGAAUUUGAAUUAGGAAAACUCGUUGAAUUCGGAAAAACAAUUCUAUUCGAUUUUUACUCAAACACUAAAGUCCAAAUCCUAAUCCUAGCCCACAUGGGAAAAGCCCAAAAUAAAAAUCCAUUCCUUCCCUUACUCUAAUUCACGUAAAACCCAAAGCAACCAAAACCCUCCCUUUCUAUUUCACGUGAAACACCAAGCCUCCUUCCCUCAGUUCUCUCUCACGGUGGUGCCUCUGCCUUGCUCUCCACGUCGCCGUCCCAGCCGCCACAGUCACCGGCGAUCCCUAACACCGAACUCCGCGAGUCUGUCCUCGCCGCCAGCCCUACCGCCGCCAGCGCAGCCGCCGGCCACCGCACGGUUCCCGCAGCCAACCACCACCACCUUGCUCCCACUGCGCGACGCCGCCACCUCCAGCCGUGCCUCACACCGCCGGCCAACUCCUCUCUCUUUCUCCUUUUGGUUAUUUCUU